AACGAACGCUGGCGGCAGGCUUAACACAUGCAAGUCGAACGCACCUUCGGGUGAGUGGCAGACGGGUGAGUAACGCGUGGGAACCUUCCCUGUGGUACGGAAUAGCUCCGGGAAACUGGAAUUAAUACCGCAUACGCCUUGAGAGGGAAAGAUUUAUCGCCCUGGGAUGAGCCCGCGUUGGAUUAGCUUGUUGGUGAGGUAAAGGCUCACCAAGGCGACGAUCCAUAGCUGGUCUGAGAGGAUGAUCAGCCACACUGGGACUGAGACACGGCCCAGACUCCUACGGGAGGCAGCAGUGGGGAAUAUUGGACAAUGGGGGCAACCCUGAUCCAGCCAUGCCGCGUGAGUGACGAAGGUCUUCGGAUUGUAAAGCUCUUUUGGCGGGGACGAUAAUGACGGUACCCGCAGAAUAAGCCCCGGCUAACUUCGUG
rnacentral:rRNA from 1 species